UACAGAGGGUGCGAGCGUUAAUCGGAAUUACUGGGCGUAAAGCGUGCGUAGACGGUAGCGUAAGUCAGAUGUGAAAGCCCCGGGCUCAACCUGGGAAUUGCAUUUGAGACUGCUCUGCUCGGGUGCGGAAGAGGGAAGCGGAAUUUCCGGUGUAGCGGUGAAAUGCGUAGAUAUCGGAAGGAACACCAGUGGCGAAAGCGGCUUCCUGGUCCGACACUGACACUGAGAGACGAAAGCUAGGGGAGCGAAUGGG
rnacentral:rRNA from 1 species